rnacentral:rRNA from 1 species
AGCACAGAGGAGCUUGCUCCUUGGGUGGCGAGUGGCGGACGGGUGAGGAAUACAUCGGAAUCUACUCUGUCGUGGGGGAUAACGUAGGGAAACUUACGCUAAUACCGCAUACGACCUACGGGUGAAAGCAGGGGACCUUCGGGCCUUGCGCGAUUGAAUGAGCCGAUGUCGGAUUACUAGUUGGCGGGGUAAAGGCCCACCAAGGCGACGAUCCGUAGCUGGUCUGAGAGGAUGAUCAGCCACACUGGAACUGAGACACGGUCCAGACUCCUACGGGAGGCAGCAGUGGGGAAUAUUGGACAAUGGGCGCAAGCCUGAUCCAGCCAUACCGCGUGGGUGAAGAAGGCCUUCGGGUUGUAAAGCCCUUUUGUUGGGAAAGAAAUCCAGCUGGCUAAUACCCGGUUGGGAUGACGGUACCCAAAGAAUAAGCACCGGCUAACUUCGUGCCACAGCCGCGGUAAUACGAAGGGUGCAAGCGUUACUCGGAAUUACUGGGCGUAAAGCGUGCGUAGUGGUCGUUUAAGUCCAUUGUGAAAGCCCUGGGCUCACCCUGGGAACUGCAAUGGAUACUGGGCGACUAGAAUGUGGUAGAGGGUAUCGGAAUUCCUGGUGUACAAUGAAAUGCUAAGAUCAGAGGAACAUCAUGGGAAGGCGCUACCUGGACCACAUUGACCCUGAGGCCCGAAGCGUGGG